AUGAAGGAAGGAAUGAUAAGAAAUUGUCCGAGGAAACUGAUGAACAUAAAUAUUUCAAGAUCAAGAGAGGGCAAAGUGUUCUUCUAGAAUCUGAAAUAUCAUUCACUCCAGAAAUUCAACACCAGUGAUGUCACAACAUGGAAUGCAAAUCUGAGUUCGUGGACAUCAGCCCCCACCAAGACCAUGGCCCUAUCAAUGCAGGUCAUGACAGGGAGACUUUGGCUGAAGAAAAUCACAACAGACGAGAGAUAAUGCAAGAGAAAAAUAAAACAAUUCCAUGAGGAUGUCAUUCUGGAACUUCCUGUUACCAGGGAGUGAGAUCAGGAUGCUUGGGGCAAGGCUCAGAGAAUCUAGAAAAGCCUCCGACUUCUACACAGCUCUCUCAAAUGUGAAGGAAGGAGGCAUGACUGCUCUUUGAUUCUCAUAGGAAAUGUAAAGAUGUAAUUUCUGCAGUGAGUAAUGGUA
rnacentral:lncRNA from 1 species